UGUCCCUGCCAGUUACUAAAUAACAUUCUGGCUGAAGUUUCCAUGGAAUGUACUCAGAACUAUUAGGUAGCAUGCUCAAGCCAUGGAUGGCUUUCAUAGACUGGACAUUAGUGAACUUGGGGCCCAGAAUGGAAAUAAUGAGAAAAGAGAAGACUUCAGUGUGAUAAGUGUGAUAAGACAGGAGGAGCUACUAGAGGUUUAAGCAGAGGUACGAAAGGCCACAUCUGAAGGUUUAAAGGAUCAGACUGGUGACCAAACGGAACUUUGGAAGGUCCUUGAAGGAUGACUGAUUCCACCUGAGCCUUGGAUACUUCUCAACAUUGCAACUCUGGUCCUUCUGUCCUCAGUCCCUCAAGGCCAGCGUGCUCCUCCCAGCUGCUCACCUGCAGGUUCAAUACUGCCUCUUCAUACAUGGUACACAUCCUCACCACUGACUCUUUGUUCCGUGAUUCAUCAUAUCAUAUUGGAUCAUUUCCUUCAACCACAUUACCUUGGAUUUUAAGUAGAUGUGCAAGUUGAGCUGUGGCCGUGGGACAUCUUGCCCCACUCAUGGCCUAUGGGUUGCUGAGACCACGGCAGAGAAUCAGUUGCACAGAAGCAACUUCACGUUCCUCUGAGGAAGAUCCAGGUGCCGUGGCACAAGGAAUAUAAGUCAGCGACACACCGCACAAAACUGCACGUGAGGUUACCAAAUACAACCUUCACCAAAGAAAUCUAGUGUUGGAAGCACUUUUAAAAUGGCUUCCGUUUUUAGAUUGGAGUUAAGACAGUCAAGCUAUCACGUGCUUUGCAGGUACACCACAGCUAUCUAUUAAUCCCAGGCUUAUUAAGCAGACGAGUUGUCUAGAGGGGGAAAUAGCAA